rnacentral:rRNA from 1 species
UCCUCCUUUCUGAAGAACUGUAAUGCCAUUAAUUUGGUGUUGCAGGGAAACAGGACUGUUACUUUGAAAAAAUUAGAGUGUUUAAAGCAGGCUAAGGCUUGAAUACAUUAGCAUGGAAUAAUGAAAUAGGACGUUUGAUUCUAUUUUGUUGGUUUCUAGGAUCGACGUAAUGAUUAAUAGGGAUAGUUGGGGGCAUUAGUAUUCAAUUGUCAGAGGUGAAAUUCUUGGAUUUAUUGAAGACUAACUACUGCGAAAGCAUUUGCCAAGGAUGUUUUCAUUAAUCAAGAACGAAAGUUAGGGGAUCGAAGACGAUCAGAUACCGUCGUAGUCUUAACCAUAAACUAUGCCGACUAGGGAUCGGAUGAUGUUAAUUUUUUAAUGACUCAUUCGGCGCCUUACG